rnacentral:rRNA from 1 species
UACAGAGGUCUCGAGCGUUAGGCGGAAUCACUGGGCUUAAAGCGUGUGUAGGCGGAUCGUUAAGUGCCUCGUGAAAUCCCACGGCUCAACCGUGGAACUGCUUGGCAUACUGGCGGUCUUGAGCAACCUAGGGGCGAGCGGAACAAAUGGUGGAGCGGUGAAAUGCGUAGAUAUCAUUUGGAACGCCAAUGGUGAAAACAGCUCGCUGGGGGUUUGCUGACGCUGAGACACGAAAGCCAGGGGAGCAAACGGG